GACGAACGCUGGCGGCGCGCUUAACACAUGCAAGUCGAGCGAGAACCAGACCUUGGUCUGGGAAAGCGGCGAACGGGUGAGUAACACGUGAGUAAUCUGCCCUCGGUACCGGGAUAGCCCGCGGAAACGCGGAUUAAUACCGGAUGGCCCACCUGCCCUUCGGGUGGUUGGAAAGGUAGCUUCGGCCUCCGACCGAGGAGGAGCUCGCGGUGGAUUAGCUUGUUGGCGGGGUAAUGGCCCACCCAAGGCGACGAUCCAUAGCUGGUCUGAGAGGACGAUCAGCCACACUGGGACUGAGACACUGCCCAGACUCCUACGGGAGGC
rnacentral:rRNA from 1 species